rnacentral:hammerhead_ribozyme from 1 species
AUCCAUCUGACCAGUGCCAAACAGGACGAAACUUGUGUCGUGGAU